CUGAUGGGCGCGUCCGGGUCAAUUGCGGAAUGCAACACCCGAUCUCCCUUCCCGUCCCGAAUGGGAUGGAUAUCACAGAGGGGGAGCGUGUCACCGUCAG
ncrna:unclassified sequences L4-Archaeoglobi ribosomal protein leader